ACGACCUUACUUGAACAGGAUCUGUUCUAUAGGCUCGUACCUCUGUAUCCUUGACUUCUAAGGAGAUAGGAAACCAUGUCUGGUGGAUGACCUCUGGCUGCUCGACCAGAGCGUGACUAACAGCACCUAGGGGCUCGACCUUGUUGGUGCCGUAGAUGAUCGUUCUUGGUUGGCUUCGGCUGGCCGAGAUGGUCUUGCAGCUGUCUGACAGACU